AGUGAACGCUGGCGGUAGGCCUAACACAUGCAAGUCGAACGGCAGCACAGUAAGAGCUUGCUCUUACGGGUGGCGAGUGGCGGACGGGUGAGGAAUACAUCGGAAUCUACUUUUUCGUGGGGGAUAACGUAGGGAAACUUACGCUAAUACCGCAUACGACCUACGGGUGAAAGCAGGGGAUCUUCGGACCUUGCGCGAUUGAAUGAGCCGAUGUCGGAUUAGCUAGUUGGCGGGGUAAAGGCCCACCAAGGCGACGAUCCGUAGCUGGUCUGAGAGGAUGGUCAGCCACACUGGAACUGAGACACGGUCCAGACUCCUACGGGAGGCAGCAGUGGGGAAUAUUGGACAAUGGGCGCAAGCCUGAUCCAGCCAUACCGCGUGUGUGAAGAAGGCCUUCGGGUUGUAAAGACCUUUUGUUGGGAAAGAAAAGCAGCAGGUUAAUACCCCGCUGUUCUGACGGUACCCAAAGAAUAAGCACCGGCUAACUUCGUG
rnacentral:rRNA from 1 species